rnacentral:lncRNA from 1 species
CUAAAUGGAGCUAGGUAUGGCUUAUGAUGAGCCUGUGCAAAUUUUUGAAUUGCUCUGUGCUUGCUUGACGCUUUGUGACUCGAUCCUUGCAAUUCCUACAGUGUAAGGGUUUCCAAUGAAUUGGGGCGAGGAAAUGCUGAAGCAGCAGUGUUCGCCAUUAAAGUCAUCUUGGGCACCUCAAUUAGCAUUGGAGUUGUCUUUUGGAUCUUGUGCCUAGUUUUCGGUCGACGGAUUGCCUACAUAUUCACUAGCGAGGAAGAUGUCGCGGAAGAGGUUUCAAGCCUCUCAGUUCUCCUUGCCUCCUCUAUUUUACUCAACAGUGUUCAGCCAGUGCUCUCAGGUAAGUAGUGGUUGUUCCACUUCUCAUGACGUGAAUGACAGAAUUAUUUACAGAUUCCUCCUUGCCGACCCAUCCGUUCAUCUCUUGCAGGUGCAGCGGUAGGUUCUGGGACACAAAGUGUGGUUGCCUAUGUUAACAUGUGUUCCUAUUAUGUGAUCGGAGUGCCUCUAGGAGUCGUGCUUGCGUACGUCACCAAGUUGGAAAUUCAGGUAAGAAGGCCUGAACCUGCCCCUGUCUUUCGCGGGGAACCUGACUGUCAUUUGUGUUACAUUUUUGGUUUGAUGGGGCGACACUUCACUAUUCAGAGAAUACUUAGCCAAGAUAAGCUAUUUCUUGGUUUCUGACCAUGCGGAAAUUCCUUGGUUUGACGCCCACAGGGUAUAUGGAUAGGAAUGAUAAUCGGAGUCGCAACUCAGACAGUGGUGCUCAGUUUCAUUACUUACAGAAUGAACUGGGACAAGCAGGUAAAUGCAAGUUUUGGAGCACAUCAGUCACAUGCCUUCACAUGAUAUAUGCUGCAAGAGUUUGAAUUAGCUGGAAAUAUCAGCAAGAUAUCAAGAUUCUAUUUGUUUUAGUCUCCUUUUCGUGAUGAAAGAGUUUUAAAAGCCAAUUACCAUAUUGCUUUCAUUAUAUAGGUGAACAAAGCAACAGAAAAGCUCCAUAGGUUGUUCUUGGAAAGAUCCGAAGACCAUGGUGAGAGCUCUACCACUCUGAACAGCUGAACGGAUGAGUUAAAACUGAAGAGCAUAUGGUUUCAUCCCAGUUUAGGUUUUCGGAUGAGAACAAGUUGCUUCUUCUUUCUCUCUUUUUUGACCUCUGUUAUGACAGCCAUUGAAUAAAUUGAUCCAAUCCCUAUCCGAUUGAUAAAGCUUUCCCACCCCAUUUUUCAGUGAUUGGAAAAAAUUCAUUGUUGAAGAUGGAAAACGUUCAUACUUCAGCCACCUUCAUCUAGUAGUUCUUGCUGUAACCAUUUUUGCACCUACUCGAAAGAAAGCACAUAUUGCAGGUCAUAAUGAUGAUGUAAGAAAGGUCUAGCCCAUCCAACAGCAAAUGAACAUUUGCAGAAUCUUAUAACAGGUUUGACAAAUUAUGACAAUGUAAAGAACAUCCCUCUAGCUCCGAUAGAGGAGUCAUCUAGGAGCGAAGGCAGUCCCAAUAUAAAACGAUAUGCUAGAUGAUUUGAUAGACAAACGGAAGUUUCACAUUUUCUCAGUAUUCUACAGCAAGCACGAUAUUCAUGCAGAGUAAGCGAAGAAGAUGCCGAACAUGAGAUGGGAUCAUUCAAAACUAUAUAUAUAUACAAUCAGUUAUAAAUGACAACUUUGGUAGUUGGUAUGCAAGUAAGUCCCUGAUGCUCGGAACAUCUUCAAGAGAGAGCUCACGCCCCAGCUGCAUUCUUGUUGAUUUCAAGGCAUCCUGGCAAGAAAAGAUAAAUAAAGAGAAGUGUUUGAAGAUGUUUCAAUAAAAGACAGAGGAAAGUUUCAACAGUACCUCAUAAUAGUAACUAGGCCGACAAACAUAAGGAACUUAUCUUUGGUAACUUACAAUAAAUUCCACAUAUGACUACACAAUAAAGACUACUCAAAGCCAUUUUCUCUUCUUUAACCGGUCCAAGAACCUGACCUACUUUACACUCUAUAUGUAAAGCCUCGGAUUUAACUUAUUAGAUAUUGUCCGCUUUGGUAUAUUCCAUAGUGAGUUUCACGAUUUUGUUCUUCGGUGUACAAGCGGCUACUUCCCCGGGAAGUUACCUAUCUUGCUAGUGCUUUAGCCUGGAAUCGCUAAAUUUGUCCUUAAAUCCAGCUUUCGCAACUCUUAGGACUUGUCUUUAUAGAGGCUUGUUACAUGACUCUUACUCAUAAAUUUCUCAUAAAUAUAUCUAACAUUGCAUGGAUGCUCGCAAGGACACUGGCAGACUAUGGUGUCACACCCCAAAAUCAAUAAGAGUGGCGGAUGACAUGACCAUUUUUCCUCCUAAAGAACGCAACCUCAAAACUCCUAAAAUCCUACUCCAAAAAUUGAAAGAUAGAGGAGUGAGCAGCCACAGCUCAACGAGUAGUGCAUCUCUUCUAAGCGGAUCAAGCAUCCAUUAUGCAUAUUUACAAAACCAAAUUGCAACUCUUUUCACCCAAAUUCAAGAUAUUAAAAACACACAGCAAAAAAAUAAGUUACACACGCUUCAAUAUAGCUAUAUUUAUAACAAAAAAAAUCAUUUCAUAAUAACAUCAAAAUAAACAUCAAUGGUCUAAUCCAUUGAUCAAUCUCAUUAAUUCACACACUAAUAGUCCAUUCAAUUAAUUAAUCUUAUGCCACAUAUCAAUGAUCUAAUGAAAUUACACGUCAAUGGUCAAUUCCAACGAUUAAUCUCAAAUUAUACAUCGAUGGUACAUUCCAUCUACCAAACUCAUAUCAUAUGUCAAUGGUCUGCUCCAUUGACCAAUCCGUUACUCAAUAUCAAAUCAUGGUCACGAUACAACUCCUAGUGACGAGGCGACCAAGAUUCCCCCAUUGGCAAUGUCUCCACCUAUUAUUAACCGGUAGUUUGGCCCACAAGGAUAUCCUAGACUAGUAUACGCAUACACACAAGCCCUUUGCUAGGCUUACAACAAUAUUGAGCAUCAAUAUCAAUCCCAAACAACACCAUCCACAAUUCACAAAAUCAAAUCCAUAAAUCAUUUUAUAUAUCACCAAAAGAUUUAGCAACUUAACUCAUCCACCAAAAAUACUUUUCAUAAAACAUCUCAAAUAAUUUCAAAACUCGCAUCAUAAAUCAAUUUUACCAAUCGAAUCAAAUCAAAUACAUUUCAAAAAACUUAUCACAAAUCGAGAUCUAUAUAACAUUCCAUAAACCAUUUCAAAGUCGAGAUUUUCGUAAAAAGGUUUCACAAACCCAAAACAUGUAAUAUUUCUCAACUUCAUUCAUCAAACGAAAUAUAUAUUUCCACAAAAAAGUUCUGACACUACUCAAAUACCAAAACGUAGUAUAUGCCCGAUCCAAAUUUUAUGCAACAAACAUGUUUAUUCAUAACUCAUAAAAUAUCAAAUCUUUAUAGUUUUGAAAACAUAAGUUUAUAUCUUACGAUUAAAUUACAAGCGUUACUUGAAUCGUCAAACUCGCAAUCCUAUCACAUAAAUGAUAAACAACGUUAAAAUCGAGUGAAACAAUACCUCAACUAUGACUUGAUCAAACUAAGCAUGAGCACUUAGAAAAUGACUCCUAUGUGCCAAUAAAUCGCUAAACCAAAUCAAUUACUCGAAGCUGUCCAUAGCGCGAAACUUGAGCAUGAAACUUUAUCAUGCCAUAAUUUUCUCCACCAAACUCCGUUUCAAGCUAACUUAUAGUCAAUGGAAAGCCCAACCAACGUACUACAAGAACCCCAAUUUAACAAACCCAAAAUCAAGCUGAAAAUUAACAAAAAAAAAUACGGCCCGAAGUCCUGGUUGCGCACUGUACAUCAUGCACGAUAAACUUCAAAAUUUUGUUUUGGGCAAAUUGUAAACUCAAAUCAUAAUCCAUAAAAUCCUAAAGCUUCAUAACAUCCUAAAUUAUCAUUUCUACAAAAAUACGUAGCUCAACCACUCAAAAAUCAUACUUCGCCACUUGAUUUUCACAAAAUUUCAAAUUUCAAACCUAGGUCCGAAAUUACUCCGAUUGAAUGAACAGGCGACAUGAGUGCUUACCAGGAAUUACCUUACAUAGUUAAGGUGGCUUGGCGAGGUUGCCAUGAUGAAAACGCACAAACCCCUUUUCUUCUUCUUCUUCCUCUCUUCCUCUUUCUUUCUUUGAGCGCAAGCUCGCUGCUCUCCCUUUCUCUCUCUCCUCCUUUUUCUUUCUCUGUUUCCUUUUAUCUCCUCCUUUUCCCCAUUUUUCUUUUUCUUUUUCUUUCUUCUUUCCUUUUCUUCUCUCUGUUCUUUUUCUUCUUCUCUCCCGAAGACUCUCGGCCUCUUUCCUUCUUCUUUCUCCUUAUUAUAUUUUUGACUGGGUCAAAAGCAGCUCGUCGGCAUGGUUAGGGACACCACGAGGGCCGUAGGGAUAGUGGUGAGGGCUAAUAGGCUUGGCGAGGUGGCUCCAAGGCUUGGCGAGAUCCGUGGGAGCAGCUGGUGCGCCAGGAAACCUCAAGGAAAGCUUCGGGAAGGCUGGAAACUCGAUUGAGAUUUGCAGCUGAGCAAGGGCAGAGGUGCAGCGUCAAAGCUGGUCUGCAGCAGGCCUGCCAGGUUGAGAUGGUAGCUGGCAAGGACUACAGUAAAAUGGCUAGGCCUAGGAAUUGACAGGUGUGGCGGCGAUGCAGGUGGUGCAAUAGCUCGUGCGGGUUGUCGUGGACUAGCAGAGCUUGACUGGCUAGGUGUUGUCUUAAGUUAUCUUGCUAGUUCCAUAAUUUAUUUUUCAAUCAUUUUAACAUCAAUAAUUUUUUUUUAAAUUUCACUUAAGCAAUAAAUACUAUAAUUUUCAAUUAAUUAUUUAAAUGUCAUAAUAUUAAUUAUAAGACAAAUAAAUGUUUGAAAAAAUUCUCAUGGUGUCCUUUUUCUUGAAGAAAUAAUAAAAAAAAUAUUUUAUGAUUUCAUGUGGAUCCAGCAGGUUCAAAGUAGGAUGAGCAUGAUUCCCGGAUAAAAUCGGAAAUGAGGAACCGAACCGGUUCAUAAUUCUACAGGGACCGAUUCCGAUUUCCGGUUGUCCUCUCCCGUUCUCUGCCUUUGCCUCGUCCCCGACGUCGCUCGGCCUCGACGCCACCGCUGGACGCCGCCGCCGGACGCCGCUUGUCCCGCCGCUGGACGCCAGUCGCUCCCUGCUCGCCCCGCCCUUGCCUCCCUAGACGUUGUCACCCCCGCUCGCCUCGACGUCGCCGCUGGAUGCCGCUUGCCCUCGACACCGCCACUGGACGUGGCUCGAUCCCCCGGUGGACGCCGCUCGUCCGCUCGCCCAGCCGCCCUCGACGCCGCUCGCCCGGUCACCCCCGACGCCGCUCGCCCCCGACGCCGCUUGCCCAGUCGCCCCCGGCGUUGCUCGCCCCCUGACGCCUAAGCACAUUAGAUGCCUCCCGCUUGGUCAGUCCUUUACAACAAUUUGGUACCAUUUAUUGGAAGAAUCGAGUCAAAUAAUACACUUGAAGAUAGUUUGGGAUUGUGAUCAUAUCAUGAAUUUUCAUCAUGGGCUUGUAUCAUGUGAUGGGGAAUCUUCAAGUUGAAUAUCAGAUGAGAGAGGUCCUCAAAGAUUUCUGUGGCACUUCUGCAUCAUUGUAGUCCCAAGUGCUUAUUGUUUUUAUUUUCUUUCAGGUACCCCUUUUAACAUAUUGAAGGAAUUUGAUGGAGAAACAGUAACAGAGGUUGUCCGUCCCUGCCUUGCAAGGAUGAGAUGCCGUGUUAAGAGAUUUACGAAAAACAUUUUUUUGUGGAGAAGAACCCAACUCUAGGUAAGCUUUUUGAACCUGAUGAUUUUAGUUGGAAAAAAAUUGGGAAACUUUGAUGAUGAUCAGAUCAGCCAUUUCAUAAUGCUGCGAUUUGAUUUAGAAGACAAUAUGAAAUGACGAAUGUGAAAUGUUGAUCAAAUUAGUACUUUUGAGUAUCCGAUUGCUUAUGAUUGCUUUUGCAGUUAAUGUUCCUGUCAAGAACUUGGAAUUGAAGGACUACAUUCCAUUACCCACACCAGGAGAUGAGGAGAGGCUGCGAUCGUAGUAUGAUUUGAUUGCCAACGUUGUUCAUGAUGGCAAACCUGGUGAAGGUUCUUACAGGGUUUUUGUUCGGCGGAAGUUCGAAGAACUUUGGUAAAUCUCUCUCUCCCUCUCUGUGAUUUUUGGGGAAAUAAGAGUGCAAUUGUUGUGUAGAUUGACAAGUCUUACAUUAUGCUUUAGGUAUGAGAUGUAGGAUCUGCAUGUUUCAGAAACGCUUCCUCAUAUGGUUGCACUCUCAGAGGCAUACAUGCAGAUAUAUGAGCAGCAUCAGUAGGACAAUUUUGGUGGCAAAUUUUUUCAGUGCCUUCUGCUUUGCAACUUUGAGACCCCAAUGGUGCUGGACUUCAGAUCUUCUAAAAAGAAGUUCGAUCUGUUUGUGAGACUACCUGUCAGAUCUGUCUCCUUGGAGCAGCUAGGGUUUUUGAUGAACCUUAAAUUUAGGAUAUCUUGCUGUGCUGAGAUGACUGAUGGCGUAAACCUUGUAUUCUGUUGACUGUAUAUGAUCAUUACUGAAACCUUAAGCUUAGGUUACUUUGAGUAAUUAAAAAGGGUGGAUGCAGUGUAUCUCUAAUAUCUAUGAUAUCUACAGUAAUUAUAUAGUUCUCAGGUUUGUUUACCUUUCCGUGUUUUUCAGUUGGCUGCCUUGUGCAAUGGAAAGGCAAACAUAUUGAUAUCUGAUGUUUUCUCUUUUGUUUCUAUUCUUUUUCACUAGCAUGUACUUCCUGGUGACUGAUUUCAAAUAGACUAUUGAGGCAAACUUGCAUAUGUUCUUGCUGGUCCGUCAGAUUCUUCUAAACUUUGCGCUUGUCUACCUGUUAAGCAUAUCGGUGAAAUGACACGACCACUGAGUCUGAGUCUUCACGACCUCAAUGAGUGGACUCUGAGUCUUCUUUCUCAUUUGCAGAUGCUGCCCACCAAUCAAAGCCAACUUGAAUAGUUGAGGUUGCAUAGGAAUUUCCCUCAUGCUCUUAUGCUUUUCGGCAUCAGAGUGAGUCGAGUUUUAUUUGCAACUACAUGCUCUUUUUCUUUUACAGGCACUGUACUUUUUGCCCUGUUCUUUCCAUCAUCGUUUCGCUAAUUCUUUUUAUCAUAUUUUAUUUGACAGGAAGAUGAUUUAGAUGAGUCAACAACUACACCAGGUUCUAAUUUUGCACACAUUUCUGUUGUUUAGUUUGAAUGGUAACUUCAUAAAUUUGAAACGACCUAAGUAUCAGCUUCUAUUUGGCUUGUUGAUUCUGUCAUGCAAGUAUCAAGCCUAGAUUUUGAGAGGUUUUUAGCCUUUGCAGUGUGCAGGAGACUAUGAUGGAUGUUGUCAUAGGUUCAUAAAGUUCAUAGAGAAUUCAAUUUUAUUAUGUAGUAUGCUGUUGUUACUUUUUUUUUAAUCUGAUAUAGCAAAACUAAGUUUGCUUGUAAACUUAAAGAGUGGUUUGGAAUAUCACAAUGCUGGCUUAUAACAUCAAACGCAGCUUUUCCUUAAGAUCUUACCCAAUGGCGGGAUUGAGCAAUUGUUGCAUAGUUUACCCUGAAAAUGAAACCAAAAAAAUGAGGAAAAAAAAAAAAAACCUGUUGGAACCUGGAACCAACCCCGGAACCUGUGACAGGGUAGGUUCCAGGUUCUUGGUUCUGACGAGUAGGUUCCAGGUUCCAAAAAAUGAGGAACCUGUACCCGAGGGUAGGUUACAGGUUCCAGAACCUGUAAGGAACUAGGAACCACUCACCCCUAGGUUCAAGUUGUACAAUGACUAAUAGGCUCAGGAAAAAGAUCUUUUUUGUCAUCCUAUGAAUUGUGUUUCUGUGUAUCCGCAAUAUGAACGUUCCCGAAGAAUUUCACGCUUCGCGUUCUUGUGGCAGGAAUCAUGAGUGACGACAGGAUGGAGGACAGGCUUCUUGGUACAGAAGCAAAAGACGAAGGUAGUCUAUUAGGGAAGGUCUGGGCGGAGUCAAAGAAAAUAUGGAGAGUUACCUUCCCAGCAAUGUUGGCCGGAGUGACUACUUAUGGAGUCUUCGUAGUGACGCAAGCAUUCGUGGGGCACAUCAGUGAUACAGAGCUCGCCGCUUAUGCGCUCAUUCAAAUCAUCGGCCUGCGAUUUGCCAACGGAAUAAUUGUAAGGAUUAGAAUCCCCUCUUUUCCAAUUCUGAUCAUGAGUAAAUAAUCUGAUGAAUAUGGACCGGUGUUGAUCAUGUUUCCAAGAAACUAUCGAAUUUACACUUUUUUUCCCCUAAACUUCUGCAAAUUAUGCAAUAUCGGCGAUCGAGAGAGGGGUUUCAAUUAAAUAUUCAAUAUUUGGGUGUAUAGGCUGUGAACUUUGCAAAUGAACUUUUUGAUCCUGCAGUUGGGCAUGUCAAGUGCAACUGAAACAUUAUGCGGGCAAGCAUUUGGUGCAGAGCAAUACCACAUGUUAGGCAUUUACUUGCAAAGAUCUUGGAUCAUCAAUCUGGUCACGGCAACCAUCUUGGUCCCGGUCUUUGUCUAUAGCUCGUCCAUUUUCAAGCUUCUUGGUAUAGAAGAUGAAGUAGCUGAAGCCACUGGGUACAUUGCCCUGUGGUUCAUCCCGAUCAUCUACUACUAUGUCUUCUUCUUUACCAUCCAAAUGUUCUUGCAGAGCCAGCUCAAGAACGCCAUCAUAGGAUGGCUCUGCACCAUCUCAUUCGCAAUUCAUGUCUUGUUGUCUUGGCUCUUUGUGUACGUACUAGAUUGGGGAAUCCCAGGAGCAAUGAGUGCGCUGAUAAUAUCAAGUUGGUUAGGGGUGAUUGGGGAGUUUGUGUACAUGUUUGGAGGCUGGUGCGAAAGUACUUGGACGGGUUUCACCUGGGCUGCAUUUGCCAAUUUAUGGCCUGUCAUAAAGCUUUCCAUGUCCUCUGGCAUUAUGCUGUGGUAGACUUUCUUUCUAUCGAAUUUCCUUCAUGCCUCUGAGAAAUUCCAGGUGAAUGAACUCACAUGCUCAAUAUAUUACAAGAGAGAAAUUACACAGUUUAAAUCUGUUUCUCAGGAGUUGAAUGAACGGAUUGAAAAAAGAAAAUUUCUUCAUUAAGGCUAGAAUUGCCUUGAUCACAAUCCUAAGUUUGUGUGCUGGCGUCAGUUCACAACAACUGAAAUACCAUGGCACAACUCUAUUGUCUUUGGGGAAGCACUGGCCGAUAUGAUUGGCGAUAUUUAAUGGUUAUUCAUGUUGUUUUCAUCCUCACAAAUGUAUCGUUCCUUACUCUGACCAUUUUCUUUGUCCUUGAUCGAAACAGCUUGGAAUUAUGGUACACUAGUGUCUUAGUCCUCUUGGCAGGAUACAUGACAAAUGCCACUGCUGCAAUAUCUGCCUUCUCGAUUUGGUAUGAUAGCAUCGAAUAAGGGGUCUUGUUUCUUCUACUUUGAGGUAAGCGGCCAUGAAAGUGAUGAACCAAAUUUGAUUUUUUUUUUUUCAGCCUCAACAUCUCAGGUUGGGAGCUCACGAUAUGCCUUGGUUUCCUAAAUGGAGCUAGGUAUGGCUUAUGAUGAGCCUGUGCAAAUUUUUGAAUUGCUCUGUGCUUGCUUGACACUUUGUGACUCGAUCCUUUCAAUUCCUACAGUGUAAGGGUUUCCAAUGAAUUGGGGCGAGGAAAUGCUGAAGCAGCAAUGUUCGCCAUUAAAGUUAUCUUGGGCACCUCAAUUAGCAUUGGAGUUGUCUUUUGGAUCUUGUGCCUAGUUUUCGGUCGACAGAUUGCCUACACAUUCACUAGCGAGGAAGAUGUCGCGGAAGAGGUUUCAAGCCUCUCAGUUCUCCUUGCCUUCUCUAUUUUACUCAACAGUGUUC